rnacentral:rRNA from 1 species
UACGAAGGGGGCUAGCGUUGCUCGGAAUGACUGGGCGUAAAGGGCGCGUAGGCGGAUGGUACAGUCAGAUGUGAAAUUCCUGGGCUUAACCUGGGGGCUGCAUUUGAUACGUAUUGCCUAGAGUGAGGAAGAGGGUCGUGGAAUUCCCAGUGUAGAGGUGAAAUUCGUAGAUAUUGGGAAGAACACCGGUGGCGAAGGCGGCGACCUGGUCCUUUACUGACGCUGAGGCGCGAAAGCGUGGGGAGCAAACAGG